CUCCAGUACAAGCAAUCAUUUGGAGAAGAAGUGUAAGGAAUAUAUUACACAGUGUAUUUAUCACUAGUGUUGCUUACAAAGGCAAGGCCUCUUCAGCACCCAGAGAGCACUUCAGCACAGCGGCUGCCAAGGAGACGAUCAGAGGGUGGCCCCGCAGCCCACACACACGCUCACGCAUACUCACCCUGCUGCAUCAGGGCUCCCGUCAUAAUGUGGCUGACUGCCUGCGAGCGAGGCUGCCCCCUGAAGCUCCCGUCAGCUACCUGAGUCACAGCUCCUAAAGGGCAGUUUCAGGUUCACUGAGCAGGAUGGACAUGGGACCUUGCAAAGGAGAUCUCAGAGUCCCUUUAGUUAGCACGGACAUGGACCGCACUGUGCGUGAGACCAUGUGGCUGCCCAACAGGCUUUUUUUACCCCCUCCCUGAUUUAUCAUAAAGAACUAAGAAAGAGGUUGUGACAGGGCCGAUGCACACAGAGGUCACACGUCUUCCAGGGAUGGAAGAGACAAGUUGUCCUUUUUCUGCAAAAAUGAAAAGUAGUUUGGCAUCAUUGCACACAGAGAGAGUGAAGAUUAAUGAUUCUAAAAUGUUCAGUGACAUAUAAUGUAAAAUGUUUCUCUGACUGAUAGAUUUACGGCUCACUUGGAUCUAAAUGUGUUGUGCACAUACUCAGCACACUGCCACGGGCAUGGGCGUAGGCGCAGUCUUUUUCCCUCCAACUACAUCUUUGUGUAAGAACAGCAAGACCUCUUUUAUUUGCUUUGGCAGCAUUUGAGUCUUAUAUGUGUCCAUCACUGUGUCUGAUAUAUGUCUGCCUGAUGUUCUUAAUGAUUUCAGUCCAGCAAUUUCUCAAAAUGUACGUUAGAAAUUGUGUUCAUAUUGUUAUAGUGAUCAUAAUGAUAAUUUAACAAGACAAAGAGUUAUAGCCAUAGUCUGUUAGCUGUACUGAGGCAAUAUGGUGGUUGAACUUUUGUUAUAAAUAAAUUGCUUUGAGAUAUUGGAGCGGUGGGUAAAGCAGGUUUAUUCCAAGUCAAGGGCAGGGUUCAAAGAAAAAAAAUGCUGGGGAGGACCUUGUUUUUCAACAAAAUUAUCUCCCCUCCCCAAUAAUUUUUAUACAGUCCCUAACUUGCUGUUACCAUGCUAACAUUUGUGAAUUACCACUUAAAACAAAGAAAAAAACAGCAGAGGCUGAUGGGAAUGUCAUUCAUUUUUCAGGUAUUUGUUCAUAAAAACUGAAACUUUGACCUGAUGAUGUUGCUGGAGAAGUGAAGAGAUUUUCUUGAGGGGGCAUGAAUGUACCAGAUUUCAUUGCAAUCCUUCCUCUGGGGACCAUGGAUUUGUAUAAAAUUCAUGGCAUUUGAUAGUAGUGUUCAGAUAUUGUUUAUCUGGACCAAAGCAGUGGACCGACUGACCAACAGACCAACCAACGGUCUAACACUGAGCCGCGCUGCUAGUGUAGCAGAAAAGAAAUCCUAUUCGACACACUCAUGAUCGAAGUAAAAACCAAAUCAAAUCCCAUGAAACAUGAUUAGUUCUGUCAUUCAUUAUUCUAUUAGUUCCUUGAAAAGAAGUCCCACUACAGUUAGGGUGUGGGUCUCUCAUUGCAACACAGUUUCAGUUCCUCUACAAUAUUAAAGCAGAUUGCAGGACCUCAGAUACGCUCUUAUAUGAAUGCUGUCGUGCAACACUAAAUGCCCCUGCUGCAUGUCAGGCUUGGAAUGCAUCAGAUGCAUCAGACCGAUUAGAAAUCUCAUGAACUUUAGUCUUCAGAUUAUCUGCACGCAAAUAUGAGGUUGAAGCUGUCAGCAACAUCAGCAGGCGAAGUGUUAAUAGAUCAACAUCGUCUGUUUGGGAAUAAUAAAGUGGAGAGGAGGAAAACACCAUCAGGCCAUCAUGUGAUGUUGACGAGGAUGAUGAUGAUGAUGAUGAUGUAAACGAUGAUGGAUCCCUCUAUUAAUAGACCUGGCAAUAAAGUGACCACAGUCACAAAGGAGAACAGCAACGCUAUGGAUGAGAGACCCCAUUAUGUCCAAAUGAAGGAGUCAGCCACUCUGUCAAGAGGGCACUUUACAAACAAACCUCAUUUGACUGAGCACGUCUUUCUCUGUCCCCUUGCCCACCCGCUCUCCCUGCGCCUACCCCCUACUCUUUUCUGCUGAGUGGGUGUUUGGAGGAGUUGUGAAGGUCAGGGAAGAGACUCUGAAGUGAGGAGCGAGCCCGGGGCUUUGACCUCUGAUUGGCCCCUGGCCCAGCCGAGCUGCUGUGAGUCACAGAGACGGAGCGCCAGCCGAAAAGGGGGCCCUGCGUUGUUGAGAAGCAGACGACGAGGAGGCUGCUGCCCGGCUCUGACAAAAGGAGAGUUGUGCAGAGGUGGCGAGGCACAAUGGGACGGUUUGAGAGGAGGAGGUGUGGAGAGCUCAAUCCCCACCAUAAGCACCUUAUUGUGAAAGCCUGCUUUGUUAGAAGAAUGCAUAGGGUGAAGAAGGGGAUUUUCCCUGUGUGUAGGAAUUAGUGAUAUUGUGCAGUUGAGGUGGGAAAAUGUUCAUCACUUUGCUUCAUUAAAACAAUUCAAAAUUAAUCUCUUUUAGACAUCACAUGUUGUUCCCUACUUGAUCUGGGAAUAAAGACAUAAAAUGGUAAAAGUUUACUUUCCAUGAUUUAUUAUGGAGGUCAGAAAAAAGCCUCUUUAAUCACAACUCAAUACAAUUUCCAUCAGUGGAUAUGUGGGAGACGAUUGGUAAACAUUUCCACUUAAUGUGGAUGCUUAUUUUUCUUAUCUCCUCCCUUCAUGCAGAUGUUCACACUUCACAAAUGUCAGCACUCAUGAAUACUCCACCCUAAGUGAUAUAUGUGCAUGCUCUCACACACACACACACACACACACACACACACACACACACACACACACACACACACUUACGGUAACUAGCUUCCUUCAACCCUCAGGCCUUGCCUUUCCCA